UUAAAACAAUUAUUACUCGUAUAUCCCUAUAAUAUGGUUAGGAGUUUCUACGGCAUACCUUAAAAUCUGCUGCUAUGAGUGAAGAUAUA
rnacentral:ncRNA from 1 species